rnacentral:tRNA from 1 species
GCUUUCGUAGCUCGGUUAGAGUACCCGUUUAGUAAGCCGGAGAUCUUGAGUUCGACUCUCAACGAGAGCA